UACCAUGCAAAUGAGUGUCUUUACAAA
rnacentral:piRNA from 1 species